rnacentral:rRNA from 1 species
UGGGGAAUAUUGGACAAUGGGCGCAAGCCUGAUCCAGCCACGCCGCGUGAGUGAUGAAGGCCUUCGGGUUGUAAAGCUCUGUGGGGAGGGGCGAAAACGGCUAGUAAGAAACGACUAGUCCUUGACGGUACCUCCUUAGCAAGCACCGGCUAACUCUGUGCCAGCAGCCGCGGUAAUACAGAGGGUGCGAACGUUGCUCGGAAUUACUGGGCGUAAAGCGCGUGUAGGCGGAUGGGUAAGUCAGAUGUGAAAUCCCCGAGCUCAACUCGGGAACUGCAUUUGAAACUGCUCGUCUAGAGUACCGGAGAGGGUGGCGGAAUUCCUGGUGUAGAGGUGAAAUUCGUAGAUAUCAGGAGGAACACCGGUGGCGAAGGCGGCCACCUGGACGGUCACUGACGCUGAGACGCGAAAGCGUGGGGAGCAAACAGG